GUUAUAUGGUCAAGUGAAGAAGCGCAUACGGUGGAUGCCUUGGCAGUCAGAGGCGAUGAAAGACGUGGUAGCCUGCGAUAAGCUUCGGGGAGUCGGCAAACAGACUUUGAUCCGGAGAUCUCUGAAUGGGGGAACCCACUCAGCAUAAGCUGAGUAUCUUGUACUGAAUACAUAGGUGCAAGAGGCGAACCAGGGGAACUGAAACAUCUAAGUACCCUGAGGAAAAGAAAUCAACCGAGAUUCCCUUAGUAGUGGCGAGCGAACGGGGACUAGCCCUUAAGUGGCUUUGAGAUUAGCGGAACGCUCUGGAAAGUGCGGCCAUAGUGGGUGAUAGCCCUGUACGCGAAAAUCUCUUAGUCAUGAAAUCGAGUAGGACGGAGCACGAGAAACUUUGUCUGAAUAUGGGGGGACCAUCCUCCAAGGCUAAAUACUACUGACUGACCGAUAGUGAACCAGUACCGUGAGGGAAAGGCGAAAAGAACCCCGGAGAGGGGAGUGAAAUAGAUCCUGAAACCGUAUGCGUACAAGCAGUGGGAGCCUACUUUGUUAGGUGACUGCGUACCUUUUGUAUAAUGGGUCAGCGACUUAUAUUCAGUGGCGAGCUUAACCGAAUAGGGGAGGCGUAGCGAAAGCGAGUCUUAAUAGGGCGUUUAGUCGCUGGGUAUAGACCCGAAACCGGGCGAUCUAUCCAUGGGCAGGUUGAAGGUUAGGUAACACUGACUGGAGGACCGAACCGACUACCGUUGAAAAGUUAGCGGAUGACCUGUGGAUCGGAGUGAAAGGCUAAUCAAGCUCGGAGAUAGCUGGUUCUCCUCGAAAGCUAUUUAGGUAGCGCCUCAUGUAUCACUGUAGGGGGUAGAGCACUGUUUCGGCUAGGGGGUCAUCCCGACUUACCAAACCGAUGCAAACUCCGAAUACCUACAAGUGCCGAGCAUGGGAGACACACGGCGGGUGCUAACGUCCGUCGUGAAAAGGGAAACAACCCAGACCGUCAGCUAAGGUCCCAAAGUCAUGGUUAAGUGGGAAACGAUGUGGGAAGGCUUAGACAGCUAGGAGGUUGGCUUAGAAGCAGCCACCCUUUAAAGAAAGCGUAAUAGCUCACUAGUCGAGUCGGCCUGCGCGGAAGAUGUAACGGGGCUCAAACCAUGCACCGAAGCUACGGGUAUCACUUAGGUGAUGCGGUAGAGGAGCGUUCUGUAAGCCUGUGAAGGUGAGUUGAGAAGCUUGCUGGAGGUAUCAGAAGUGCGAAUGCUGACAUGAGUAACGACAAUGGGAGUGAAAAACUCCCACGCCGAAAGACCAAGGUUUCCUGCGCAACGUUAAUCGACGCAGGGUUAGUCGGUCCCUAAGGCGAGGCUGAAAAGCGUAGUCGAUGGAAAACAGGUUAAUAUUCCUGUACUUCUAGUUAUUGCGAUGGAGGGACGGAGAAGGCUAGGCCAGCUUGGCGUUGGUUGUCCAAGUUUAAGGUGGUAGGCUGAGAUCUUAGGUAAAUCCGGGAUCUUAAGGCCGAGAGCUGAUGACGAGUUGCCUUUAGGCGACGAAGUGGUUGAUGCCAUGCUUCCAAGAAAAGCUUCUAAGCUUCAGAUAACUAGGAACCGUACCCCAAACCGACACAGGUGGUUGGGUAGAGAAUACCAAGGCGCUUGAGAGAACUCGGGUGAAGGAACUAGGCAAAAUGGCACCGUAACUUCGGGAGAAGGUGCGCCGGUGAGGGUGAAGGACUUGCUCCGUAAGCUCAUGCCGGUCGAAGAUACCAGGCCGCUGCGACUGUUUAUUAAAAACACAGCACUCUGCAAACACGAAAGUGGACGUAUAGGGUGUGACGCCUGCCCGGUGCCGGAAGGUUAAUUGAUGGGGUUAGCUAACGCGAAGCUCUUGAUCGAAGCCCCGGUAAACGGCGGCCGUAACUAUAACGGUCCUAAGGUAGCGAAAUUCCUUGUCGGGUAAGUUCCGACCUGCACGAAUGGCGUAACGAUGGCGGCGCUGUCUCCACCCGAGACUCAGUGAAAUUGAAAUCGCUGUGAAGAUGCAGUGUAUCCGCGGCUAGACGGAAAGACCCCGUGAACCUUUACUAUAGCUUUGCACUGGACUUUGAAUUUGCUUGUGUAGGAUAGGUGGGAGGCUUUGAAGCGUGGACGCCAGUUCGCGUGGAGCCAUCCUUGAAAUACCACCCUGGCAACUUUGAGGUUCUAACUCAGGUCCGUUAUCCGGAUCGAGGACAGUGUAUGGUGGGUAGUUUGACUGGGGCGGUCUCCUCCUAAAGAGUAACGGAGGAGUACGAAGGUGCGCUCAGACCGGUCGGAAAUCGGUCGUAGAGUAUAAAGGCAAAAGCGCGCUUGACUGCGAGACAGACACGUCGAGCAGGUACGAAAGUAGGUCUUAGUGAUCCGGUGGUUCUGUAUGGAAGGGCCAUCGCUCAACGGAUAAAAGGUACUCCGGGGAUAACAGGCUGAUACCGCCCAAGAGUUCAUAUCGACGGCGGUGUUUGGCACCUCGAUGUCGGCUCAUCACAUCCUGGGGCUGAAGCCGGUCCCAAGGGUAUGGCUGUUCGCCAUUUAAAGUGGUACGCGAGCUGGGUUUAGAACGUCGUGAGACAGUUCGGUCCCUAUCUGCCGUGGACGUUUGAGAUUUGAGAGGGGCUGCUCCUAGUACGAGAGGACCGGAGUGGACGAACCUCUGGUGUUCCGGUUGUCACGCCAGUGGCAUUGCCGGGUAGCUAUGUUCGGGAGAGAUAACCGCUGAAAGCAUCUAAGCGGGAAACUUGCCUCAAGAUGAGAUCUCACUGGAGCCUUGAGCUCCCUGAAGGGCCGUCGAAGACUACGACGUUGAUAGGUUGGGUGUGUAAGCGCUGUGAGGCGUUGAGCUAACCAAUACUAAUUGCCCGUGAGGCUUGACCAUAUAACACCCAAGCAAUU
rnacentral:rRNA from 1 species